AAUGCGUUUCUUAGUCACCUGUAUUCUCUUGGCAUUGGCUCUUUGCAGCGCCGUGGAGUGUCAUGAGGAUAUUUUCAAACGACUAGCUGAGGAUAUUAAACAUGUCGCCGACAAAUUUGCCCAUGAUGUUAAACAUGGUUUCCAUGAUUUUGGCGAUGAUGUG